AGAUGAUGAGAGCCAAGUCAAGGCGACCGUGGUAAAGCGAAGCAGACAGCUGCUUGACCCUGACAGUGGCCGCGAGCU
rnacentral:snRNA from 15 species